AGGACGAACGCUGGCGGCGUGCUUAACACAUGCAAGUCGAGCGGAAAGGCCCUUCGGGGUACUCGAGCGGCGAACGGGUGAGUAACACGUGAGUAAUCUGCCCCUAGCUCUGGGAUAGCUCCGGGAAACCGGGAUUAAUACUGGAUACGACCACCUUAGACAUCUUUUGUGGUGGAAAGAAUUUCGGCUAGGGAUGAGCUCGCGGCCUAUCAGCUUGUUGGUGGGUAACGCCUACCGAAGGCGACGACGGUA
rnacentral:rRNA from 1 species